rnacentral:rRNA from 1 species
UACAGAGGGUGCAAGCGUUAUCCGGAAUGAUUGGGCGUAAAGCGUUUGUAGGUUGCUUGAGAAGUCUACUGUCAAAUCCCAGAGCUCAACUUUGGACAGGCAGUGGAGCACUCUUAGGCUAGAGUACGGUAGGGGUAGAGGGAAUUCCCGGUGGAGCGGUGAAAUGCACAGAGAUCGGGAAGAACACCAGUGGCGAAAGCGGCGCACUGGACCACAUCUGACGCUGAGGCGCGAAAGCUAGGGGAGCAAACAGG